UCUGGGAUAGUUCAGUGGUAGAACGCCGCGCUGUUAACGCGGAUGUCGCUGGUUCGAAUCCAGCUCCCAGAG
rnacentral:tRNA from 1 species